CCUGUUUGCGUCAGUGCGAGAUGCCCAGCGGAAACUGUUGUGUGUGUGGUGAUCGCAGGACAAACGAGAAUCAUUUCACUGUGUUGGUCUCAGGGAAGGUGUUCCAGGCACCCCAGUGCUUCCAGCGUGUACGCCAUCUCCAAGACCAGAAUCUAGAACGUCUCGCGUCUACAGCCGUAUCUCCGACCAGUGCAUCCUGUGGCAGGUGACGGUGUCGAGUACCUCUCCACACGCGCGCCCGCUCCUGGAGGCCAUCGUGGACAAGCGUAUGCAGG